GCAGCACAAGGAAGAAGCCUGGGUGAUUGGCAGUGUGGUUGCACGAGCUGAAGGUUCCCCACGUGUGAAAGUCAAGAAUCUGAUUGAAAGCAUGCAAAUAAAUGGGUCAGUGUUGAAGAAUGGCUCCCUGACAAAUCAUUUCUCUUUUGAAAAAAAAAAGGCCAGAGUGGCUGUCUUAAUAUCUGGAACAGGUGAGAUGUGGCUUCCCCUUCACUGUAGAGCUGUUGACUGCCCUUCCUUUCCUCCCCGCACUCUUGUGAGAUUGUAAGGUUACUCUCGGCAGAGUCUAGGGACUGGGGGGAAUCAUGAGGGUUGUCUUUGUCUUUUCAGCAUUCUUAGUCUUUCCACUUUUCUUAGGAAUUUGAGACAGCUCCCAAAGAAAAAAGUAAAGGAUGUCAGAAAGCUGGUUAAAGAGAAACCAGAAAAGAUAGAAGCUACAGCUCAUUUUGUAUCAUAGCUUUGUUGUUGAAAAGUCUGAAAACAGUUGAGGAAUUUUUAUUGUUAUCUUAUUAAUUAGAAGAAGUUUAUGUUUAACCUUUAUGGAUAGAGGGGUAAAGUAAUAAGAGUAUUGUAUUCUCUCAGAUGGAUGUAGCCUGAUUUUUUUCCCUCUAUUGUAAGUAACACUGCUAUGAACAUUCUUGCAAAUAUUCAGUAUGUUCUUAAAUGCAUAUGUGAUUUUUUUUUAUUUGAUGGCCAAGAUCAUAGUGAUUCUUUUUGAGACAGUCUUGCUAUGUUGCCCAGGCUAGAGUACAGUAGCUAUUCACAGAUGCAGUCAUAGUACACUGC
rnacentral:lncRNA from 1 species